rnacentral:rRNA from 1 species
GACGAACGCUGGCGGCGUGCUUAACACAUGCAAGUCGAACGGAAAGGCCCUGAUUUUGCGGGGUGCUCGAGUGGCGAACGGGUGAGUAACACGUGAGUAACCUGCCCUUGACUUUGGGAUAACUUCAGGAAACUGGGGCUAAUACCGGAUAGGAGCUCCUGCUGCAUGGUGGGGGUUGGAAAGUUUCGGCGGUUGGGGAUGGACUCGCGGCUUAUCAGCUUGUUGGUGGGGUAGUGGCUUACCAAGGCUUUGACGGGUAGCCGGCCUGAGCGGGUGACCGGCGACAGUGGGACUGAGAGACGGACCAGACUCCUACGGGCGGCAGCAGUGGGAAAUAUUACACAAUGGGCGGAAGCGUGAUGCAGCAACGCCGCGUGCGUGAUGACGGCCUUCGGGGUAAAAACCGCUUUCGCCGGUGACGAAGCGUGAGUGACGGUAAUGGGAAAAGAAGCACCGGCUAACUACGUG